rnacentral:rRNA from 1 species
GACGUAGGCGCGAGCGUUGUCCGGAUUUAUUGGCGUAAAGAGCUCGUAGCGGCUUGUCGCGUCGUCCGUGAAAAAAACCCGGGGGGGCUCAACCCCCCGGCUUGCGUCGAUACGGCAGCUGAGUUCGUAGGGGGGAGACUGAAUUCCUGUGUAGCGGUGAAAAAUGCGCAAGAUAAUCAGGGGGAGGGGGAACACCGGUGGGGGCAAAAGGGGCGGG